rnacentral:piRNA from 1 species
UGUUACCCACAGAGAGCCUUUACCC